AUUGAACGCUGGCGGCAGGCUUAACACAUGCAAGUCGAGCGAGCGGCGGACGGGUGAGUAAUGUCUGGGAAACUGCCUGAUGGAGGGGGAUAACUACUGGAACCGGUAGCAAAUACCGCAUACCAUAAGAUGAGCCAAGAUGGGAUGAUAUAGUAGGUGGGGUAAUGGCUAACCUAGGCGACUAUCCCUAGCUGGUCUGAGAGGAUGACCAGCCACACUGGAACUGAGACACGGUCCAGACUCCUACGGGAGGCAGCAUUGGGGAAUCUUGCACACUGGGCGUAAGCCUGAUGCAGCCAUGCCGCGUGUGUGAAGAAGGCCUUCGGGUUGUAAAGCACUUUCAGCGGGGAGGCGUUACUCGCAGAAGAAGCACCGGCUAACUCCGUGCCAGCAGCCGCGGUAAUAC
rnacentral:rRNA from 1 species